AAUGAAUACUUUUAUUCUUUCCCUACAGAACUUUUGAAAUAUCGUUCUCCUUUGACCCUUCCCAGACCAUGACCUGGGUGUUACUAAUUGCUUCUUAAAUGAUUCUAAACUGAAAUAGUAGAGGCACUGGCAAACCCGACAAAAAGAGGGCUAUUAGAGAAACCAUUAAAAGAUCCAAAUGUCUGAUUCUAUGCCUACAAGA
rnacentral:lncRNA from 1 species